CGCUGGCGGCUGCUAACACAUGCAGUCGAACGUGAUCCGGGGCUUGCUCCGGUGAAAGUGGCGGACGGGUGAGUACGCGUGAGGAACCUGCCCAGUGGUCGGGGAUAACUGCGGGAAACUGCAGCUAAUACCCGGUAAGCCCUAUGGGGGAAAGAUUUAUCGCCAUUGGAGGGGCCCGCGUCGGAUUAGUAGUUGGUGGGGUAAAGGCCUACAAGCCUUCGAUCCGUACUGGUCUGAGAGGAUGAUCAGCCACACUGGGACUGAAUACGGCCAACUCCUACGGGAGGCAGCAGUGGGGAAUAUUGGACAAUGGGCGCAAGCCUGAUCCAGCAAUGCCGCGUGAGUGAAGAAGGCCUUAGGGUUUGUAAAGCCCUUUCGGCGGGGAAGAUAAUGACGGUACCCGCAGAAGAAGCCCCGGCUAACUUCGUGCCAGCAGCCGCGGUAAUACGAAGGGGGCUAGCGUUGCUCGGAAUCACUGGGCGUAAAGCGCACGUAGGCGGCUUGUUAAGUCAGGGGUGAAAUCCUGGAGCUCAACUCCAGAACUGCCUUUGAUACUGGCGAGCUUGAGUCCGGGAGAGGUGAGUGGAACUGCGAGUGUAGAGGUGAAAUUCGUAGAUAUUCGCAAGAACACCAGUGGCGAAGGCGGCUCACUGGCCCGGUACUGACGCUGAGGGUGCGAAAGCGUGGGGAGCAAACAGGAUUA
rnacentral:rRNA from 1 species